CUGAAGGUACGUUGAAGACGACGACGUUGCUAGGCCGGGUGUGUAAGCGUAGCGAUGCGUUGAGCGAACCGGUACUAAUGAACCGUGAGGCUUAACCUUACAACGCCGGAG
rnacentral:rRNA from 1 species